rnacentral:rRNA from 1 species
GAUGAACGCUAGCGGCAGGCUUAACACAUGCAAGUCGAGGGGCAGCAUAAAACGUUGCUUGCAACGUUUGGUGGCGACCGGCGCACGGGUGCGUAACGCGUAUGCAACCUACCUGUAACAGGGGGAUAACACUGAGAAAUUGGUACUAAUACCCCGUAACAUCAGAUGAGGCAUCUUAUUUGGUUGAAAGUUCCGGCGGUUACAGAUGGGCAUGCGUUGUAUUAGCUAGUUGGAGAGGUAACGGCUCACCAAGGCGACGAUACAUAGGGGGACUGAGAGGUUAACCCCCCACAUUGGUACUGAGACACGGACCAA